ensembl:lncRNA
AAUCACCUGGGAUACACUAGAGAGCUCUACAUGUAUUUGAGCCUGGAUACUGCUCACUCAUUAUCCUUGCUGAUGCAGAAGGUCUGUUUUGUAACAUCUUUCUAUGAAAAGCUAGAACAUCAGUGCUUGCUCCUGGAAAAGGGAUGGCGCUGCUCUUCUGGAGCGAUGAUAUGACAGAAACUGAACGCUGUUGGUUUUGAGGCAGUUUGCCACAGCUGUUUCAUGGAGAAAGAGGGAAUUGCUUGCAGAAAAGAGGCAAGCAGAAAAACAAGGCCAGUGUGAGUCAUCUUGUGCAGUGUGGCAUGACUCUGAGGGUUCAAAGAAGGACUUGGCGAUUUCAGAGGCUCUAAAAAUAAGGUUAAUAAACAGGUGCUCUGCAGAGGGUCAUUGUAUAUCCCACAAGGUAUGAUUCAAGGUCAUUUGCAGACUUAUUUGCAGUUAAAAUUUGUAUUGCCUGUGUUGUCUAGCCCUAAUGGAUUUGUACGGUUUUGCCUCUGUUUGCCUGUGCACCAACUUAACUGUUGCAGCACGUAUCUACUCCAACUCAUCUCCUGUCCACAGGACUGGUUUGUGGACAGCCUGUCUGACAUGCUCAACAGUCCGCUAACCUCCCUUAUGUGUCCAGGCAUGCUCAGACCUACAUGUUUCAGCUGUGUCAGCACCUCUAUGUACUGUUUUGCUGCUUGUAUGGUCAUGAAGAUAGUUUUGAAGAUGGCUUUGAGGUUACCCUCUGUGGGAUGCAUGGUAUACACAGGGUGGACAGAUCUGUCCGGAGAUGAAAGUGCUUCUCCUGGGAUAUCUUUCUCUAUUUGAGAGUGGAAUAAAUUCUGCAGGCAUGAGAUGCCCCAAUGCUGGUGCAACUGUAUCAUUGCUAGAACUGAUCCCAGCCUUACUGCUCUUGUUUUCCUGGCGCAGACCAACAGUAAAUCCACUUUGCACUGCUGUGGCAGUGUGGAGGAGCCUCAGUGAGGAAAUAAAUGAUAUUUACAC